AUACAACUUUCAACAACGGAUCUCUUGGCUCUCGCAUCGAUGAAGAACGCAGCGAAAUGCGAUAAGUAAUGUGAAUUGCAGUAUUCAGUGAAUCAUCGAAUCUUU
rnacentral:rRNA from 1 species